CUCUGGCCUGCUGGCCCCCCUACCUCUGAGGAAGCACAGUUCCCGCUCAGCCCAGUCAAAACUGUUCGCUGCUCUGGCACCCCAAUGGUGGAACAAGCUCCCUCACGACGCCAGGACAGCGGAGUCAAUCACCACCUUCCGGAGACACCUGAAACCCCACCUCUUUAAGGAAUACCUAGGAUAGGAUAAAAACUACCCACCACAACUGGAUCAAGCAGCGUGCCCGGGAGGAGAUGGAUUCCUGGUCUCUGGAGGAGUUGGAGGAGAGGAUAGACUGGACUUGGGGGCAAGUAUUGGAGAGAUACAGAAGCCUGCUGGGGAGGCAGGUGAAGGCAGCAAGAGAGGAACUAGCACGGCAAGGAAGGAAGGAAGCACGAGAGGCAGCCCCAAAACGCCCUGUGCCUGCUCCACGUACCAGGCUGUCAGUACGUCUCCUCAGUCCGGUGAGACCCGUUCCGGCUCCACAUAAGAAGUCUCCAGUGAUGAUCCAUGGGCCGAAGCCUCCAGUGAUGAUCCAUGGUCCGAAGCCUCCAGUGAUGAUCCAUGGCACGAAGCCUCCAGUGAUGAUCCAUGGCACGAAGCCUCCAGUGACGAUCCAUGGCCCGGAGCCUGUAGGGAUGAUCCAUGGUCCGAAGCCUCCAGUGAUGAUCCAUGGCACAAAGCCUGCAGUGAUGAUCCAUGGCAUGGAGCCUGUAGCGACGGCCUGCAGCCCGGAACCUCCUGAGAUGGCCUGCAGCCCGGAACCUCCUGAGACAGCCUGCAGCCCGGAACCUCCUGAGACGGCCUGCAGCCCGGAACCUCCUGAGACGGCCUGCAGCCCGGAACCUCCUGAGACGGCCUGCAGCCCGGAACCUCCUGAGACGGCCUGCAGCCCGGAACCUCCUGAGACGGCCUGCAGCCCGGAACCUCCUGAGACGGCCUGCAGCCCGAAACCUCCUGAGAUGGCCUGCAGCCCGGAGUCUUCAGCGGCGGCCUGCAGCCCGGAGUCUUCAGCGGUGGUUGGCAGUUCAGAGCCUCUGGCAAUGAUCCACGGACUGGCUCCUCCAGCGACACAGAAGCGGGGGGAUCAGCGGGCGGAGUGGGGGCUAUGCUCUGAACCAGAGCCACUGCCAAGAAUAGAUGUCCACCCGGACCCUCCCCUAUAGGUUCAGUCCUCCCGGUUCUGACGUUUUGCCUGACCUGACACUGAGCCUGCCUGCCUGACCAUUCUGCCUGCCCCUAACCUCGAGCCUGCCUGCCGCCCAGUACCAUUUGGACUCUGACCUAGUUAUGAACUCUUGCCUGUCCUGGACCUUCCUCUUGCCUGCCCCUUGUUGUUCAAUAAAUAUCAGAGACUCUAACCAUCUGCCUCCUGUGUCUGCAUCUGGUUCUCGCCUUGUGUCGUUAUAGUACGAACUGGCCAUCACUGACCCAGCAGACUCAGACCACCUCAGUCACGCUGUCUCCCUGCAGGGAGCCACCACUAAAAAACAUGAGGAGCUACUUCAGAAUCUUAUGGAAAGGUUCCAAUCUCUGGUGAAACGCCACCCCCAGUGCUUCAAGGCGUUAAUGGAGCAGUUCCGUGAAUUAUCUCACAGGCAGCAUAUCAUGUCUGAAACCUCCCAGCCACUCAGUAAUCCACCUACCAGAGGUGGGUUUGUUCAGGCUACCCCGGCUCCCUGAAAACCCUGUUUACCACCUCCGGAGCGAUAUGCUGAGGAUCCUGGAACCUGCCAGGCGUUUCUUUCCCAGUGCUCCCUUAUUUUUGAGCUACAGCCAUCUUUGUUCCUUUCAGAUCGGUCGAAGAUAGCGUGUCUUAUUAUGCUAAUGUCUGGAAGGGUGCUUUCCUGGGCUACUGCUGUUUGGGAGCAACAACCCACCGUUUGCUAUAAUCUGGAAGAUUUCAUGGCGGAGGUGAGGAAGGUGUUUGAUUCUCCGGUGCCCAGGAGAGAGGCGGCCGGAAAACUACUGAAAUGACAUCAGAACUCCCGUAGUGUGGUAGACUACGUAGUAGUCAGAUUUUCGCACAUUGGCCACCGAGAGUGCCUGGAAUACGGAGGUCCCGUUCGAUACCUUCCUUCACAGACUAUCAGAGGAGAUAAAAGAUGAGCUAAUAGCUCGGGAGUUACCUUUGGACCUCGAUUCCCUCAUCGCCCUUACCAUUAGGAUUGAUGGGCAUCUACGGGAACGCAGGAGUGAGAGGAGGUCGGGUCUUGGUCACACUCGUUCAUCCGCUGCUGCUUGCUUACCUCCGAAGGAAUCCGGAAGUCCCCGAAGGCUGCAUUUCCGAGAAGAUCCGAAGCCAACCGAGUUUUCUCGAGAAUCAUCAGCGACGGGUGAGUCGGACACACUGGAGCCUAUACAACUGGGCAGAGCUAGAUUAUCGCAUAGGGAGUGUUCACAUAGGCUGAGCUCCAACUGUUGUCUGUAUUGUGGUUCUGCGGGACAUUACAUAGCUACCUGUCCAGUAAAGAGACCUGACUCAUUAGUAGGUACGAGUACACAAAUGGGAAUUCUCUAGUUUCCGUUACCUUUACUCCCUUUUUUGUGAUCCCGAUGUGGGGAGACCAGUCUAAGUCCCUCCGGGUGCUCAUUGACUCUGGGGCAGAUGAGAGUUUUAUGGACGCUACCCUGGUAUCGGAACUAGGUAUCCCCACUCAACUCCUCUCCAUUCCCAUGGAUGCUAGGGCACUGGACGGCCAGUCCAUUGGAAGAGUUACGCACAGCACAGUUCCCAUUAAUCUGCGGGUAUCUGGUGUCAUGACGUUGGCCUCUUUUGGUACAGGGAGGACAGUUGACCCCUCCCUUUUGCACACAAUCCACCCUGUGUGUAAAGGGUCGUAAAAACUCUAAAAUUCCAGGAGAGUCUCUGGCCACAUGGCCCAUAGAGAGACACAGGAAAUUCUUCCAACUCAUAGAAUUGGAGAGCCAAGUGACAUUUUGUGUUCUGGAGAAGGUAUGGAAG
rnacentral:lncRNA from 1 species